UUGCUCUUGCUGUACAUUCCAUAUAUGCUCAACCCUAUGUUAUUUGCUGUGGGAGGAUUCCUUGCUGCCCCUUCUUGUGUGCGCUUUACUGCCGCCUCAGCUCCCGAGACGGACAUAUCCCUUUGGCCGUGGCUCCAUGUAUACCGCAUUCACUUAUUUUUGAUUCCAUAUAAGCCAAGCAUCUGCCCCUGAAGAGUGUGACACACACGAAACGCGUCGGGCCAAUACGGAUGCUAUAUAUACUUUAUUAUAAUAUUCUAAUUGAUCUGAUUAUAUUUAUACAUGCUUUUACCAGUCGUUUUUACCUUUACAUAUUCGCCUAGACUGUUACCUUGACAUCUGUACAUAUGUAUAUUCACCCUAUGCACUCAUUAAUCCAUGCGGAUGAUCAUGUGACAUCCGGUCAAGCAUUGUUGUAUCUCUGCUACCCCCAUUGUAUCUGCACAUAUUAUGUGCUCUAAUAUGUGGUAAUGUCAUUUAUUUCUGAAAUGUAUGUUUUUCAUUUACAUGACCUCUGGAUGUUGAUAGGUGUUUUGCAAAUGUGUGACCAAUAAAUCUGUACGUUUUUUACUACCCGCA